rnacentral:tRNA from 1 species
GCGCGGUUAGCUCAGUUGGAUAGAGCGUUGGUCUCCGGAACCAAAGGUCACAGGUUCGAAUCCUGUAUCGCGCACCA